GACAGAAUCUCACCAUAACAUUUUAAUGUUAGUUCAUUUUUAAAGACAGUAAUCCUGUCAGGAAAAGUAGUUUUAUUUACCCUUAUCAAAUUCAGUUACUGGCAAUAAUCUCAAAAAAAAAAAAAAAAAAAUGUUUGAAGAGCAGAGGAUAUCUGAAUUAAUAAAUGGUGGUGGAUUAUUAAACUAGAGCCAAUGUUAGGUUUGAAUUUCAUUAUGGCAUGCAAUGAGAAAGCAAAAUAUAUCUGUCUUCAGACAUCAUUGGAACAACAUCACAGACAACUGUUUAAUCCACCAAACGUAUUCCAAGAUCAGAAGAGUCUGCAGGAAGAGAAACAUUUUCUUCUGCUUCUCUAAGAAAUAUCCAAUUACUGAAUUACUAGAUAGUAUUUUAAAUCAAUUUUUUUUACUGAAUAAUUUCUAAUUAUCUAUUUACUUUCAUACAGCAAGUGCUUAUAGAUUAGACUAUGAAAGCAUGUAAGGGACUAAAUCUCCUAUCAUUCUAAAAUAUUACAGUGUUUAUAAGUGGAGUUGAGAUGGAAAAUAUUUUUACACCAUUCUGGGGAAGCCAGAAGACAGUGUAGUCACAACCUAGGAUCUAAUACACUUACUAGUUUAGUCACAUCAAUUCUUAAAAAAGAGGAAGAAAGAAUGACUUCAGGGGUCCUUUAUGGAAGAAAAUCAAAAGUUUUGAUAUAUUUCCAGUCUCUUACCUUCUGAAAUAGAAAACAAGCAAGUAUUGACUAUUACCCUGUAAAGCAUCAGCACAAGAAUUUUAGACCUCUAAGACACCCUGCUGUGUUUAGAACUGGUGCAGUAACAAGGAAGUGAUUCCUGCUACAAAGAGGCCUAAUUUGCUUGCAGAAGGGAAGAUAUGCCAUCAGCUAUAUUGUUCUGCCUCGCAUUACUAAAAUCUCUAUGGUCCAUGAUUGUUACUUAUAAAUUGCUUCUCAGUAUAGUUUUAUCAGUGCUAGACAGAACACUGCUACAUGAUUUCCCAUAGUGUUCAAAUUGGUAAUAGGGUAAUUUUUCCUUACCUUUUUAUCCAUCUCUUAAUUUCAUGAUUCCUUAAACACUUUCUGGUCCAUAACUGUUGAUUGAACGCAUUCCAUUAAACCCACAAUACAUUUCUUGAGACAGUGUAAUAGUAAUAGCUGUUAUUUUCAAAUUUCAUGUAUUUGUGUGGCCUUCAAAAUCUUGUGGAGUGAGGAGACAUCUCUUUCAAUUGGAUGUUAAGCCUGUAAAGAGAUCCUGUGUAGUCAAUUUCUACUAUCUUCCACCAGAGAAUAGUCAUAUGAUCAGAUGGAAAUACAUACCCAAGUGCUCCAUGUUCACAGACUCUCUCAGAGGUCUGUUUAAGAUUUCUACUUUUCAAGCAAUAGUCUUUUAUCAGAUAUUUUAGAUGUGCUUUGAAACCAGAAUUACUCUGCUCAAUUUAGAUUAUUUUGAUGGUGAAAUAAAAAUAUAAGGAAAUGCAUUAUAGUAAUUACCUUUGGGUGUAUCGUGUCUAAAUCUAAAGUCUAAGACAUAAAAAAUACUUAUCUCUAUUUCUACAUAUUAUAAAUAUCCAUUAAAAAGAUUCAGGAGUAAUUCUAUUCCAGGUCCCAUCCUUUUAUUUGCUGCAGCAUUAGGAAACAACCUAAUAAUUUAGUAGUAAAAUAAGAGGAAUAAGAAUAAUAUAUUUUAUUUUGUGAAGGAUGCAAAUGCCAUGUGUAGAAUUCAUCACAUAUGAAAAUCAAUAACCACAUUUCCAUACUCAGCCUACAAUCUUGAUAAAAUAAAAGUAACUGCAUUUAACAAUGUGUUAAAAAAAACAUGCAUUUGUCUACUUGUUCGGUUUUGUUUAUCUGUCUGUUUUUCUACUAAAAUGAAAAGGCAAAUUGUACAAUUUUACAUACUUCUACAUUUCAAAGAACCUGUUAAAAAAAAAAAAAAUUCUACAAUAGGUGCAUCCAGUCUUGUUGAGCCUUUUAAAAUGAAGAAAGUUUAAAUAUUUCCCUCCUUAUCUGUCCUAGUUUAAAUUUAGUGAUCCAUCUCCAUUUUUACAUGCUGAAUGAUCUAUGAUUUUGUAGUAUAACAAUAUCAACAUCAAUAGCAGUGCCUGUUCCUAAGGUUUCAAGGAUAUUGGCACAUCAAGUGGUUAUGUAAUCUUUAAAACUCGAAGGAAUCUAUCAUAAUAAGUUGUGUAAAACAGAACUGUCUUCUGGAUUUACUUUAUAAAGAUAAACUUUAACUUUCUGCUUCUUUGAACAUUUAUUUAAAGAUAAACCUAACUCCAAAUGUAAUCAGAUCAUACAAAUGAAAAGUAUUUUACGAUUUUCGCACAAAAGGCAGCACUGUGUAAGAGAAGUCAGACUUCUAUUUAGUAUUUUUUUGAUGAAAGAGAUUUCUUAACAGCACAGGAGUUUUACAAUCCUUUUGUAAUUUUUUAAUAUUCUGAUAAUUCUGAGAAAUAUCUAUUUCCUGUGAAAUCCUAUCACAGAGAUAAUGCUGUCCCUGCAUGCCCAAUUCACGUUUCACUCUCUUAAAAUUAAUUCCUUUCUGAAAGUGUAUAAACAAAAGAAAAUCUGUCAAAUUAAAAAUCAGAAGCUACAAUCUCUAUAUAUCUUUAUAAUAUUCAUAAUAAUGCCCUCAAUGAUUGGCGUAAAAAAAGUUCUGUUUCUUAAAAUUGAUUCUGCCUAAUUAAUGUCACAGGGUUUAUUUUGUAAAGUCCACUUGACAAUUUUCCCUACGUUCCUUAGUAAGAAUCAUGAUACUGUUGUAUGCAAAGUUGUGUAAAAAUUCAUUGGAAUAUAAAUGGCUAUAAACUGGUGUUGGACAAAUUAAAAAGUGUACAGCUUUUA